GGAAAAAUUUCCAUUGGUAGGGUAAAGUAUUUGCUAUAUACUGUGUUUAACACUUGAAAGUUCGAGUCUUUCUUUUUCCG
rnacentral:tRNA from 1 species